rnacentral:rRNA from 1 species
UACGGAGGGGGCAAGCGUUGUUCGGAAUCAUUGGGGGUAAAGGGCGCGUAGGCGGCCGAUCAAGUCGGGUGUGAAAUCCCUCGGCUCAACCGAGGAACUGCACUCGAUACUGUUCGGCUAGAGUCCGGGAGGGGAUGGUGGAAUUCCCAGUGUAGCGGUGAAAUGCGUAGAUAUUGGGAAGAACACCGGUGGCGAAGGCGGCCAUCUGGACCGGCACUGACGCUGAGGCGCGAAAGCCAGGGGAGCGAAUGGG